GGGGGGGCAGGUGGGGGUGGACAGGGUGUGACAACCCACCUGGAGAGCAGACAGUGAACAAAGUAGCAUCUACUACCAGAGACCAGAGCCUGGUGAGGGGUAGGGGGAGAGAAGGCUCCACUCUCUGGGCCAGGAUACCUCCCUGGGCUGGAGCUGGGGGAACUGGCUUCAGACUAUUGGGCAAAGGUAUAACACUACAAACGUGACAGCCGCCGCAGUCAGACUCCAAAAGCAAUGACUUUAAACGAGCUUUUAGAUUCCCCAGUUCCGCACACAACAUGUAUGACCCUUUAAAAAGCAGGGGUGGGGCAGGGAGAACACCCCAGGGUCAGCCCUGGGAAUUUUUAACCUAAUCAACAGAGAAAUCAAUUGACUGAUUCCUCCUACUUUUUCAAGAAUUCCAAAGCUCUUGUCCUCCCCUCCCUACCACAGUGCUCACCAUCACAGGAAUCACGAGGGGGACUGAGGCUGGGGGUGAUGGACACUGCCCUGAGAUCCCCAAGGGAGCAGUGUCACUGGGGCUGUGAGGCUGUGAGCUACUCCUGGAAAGGAACGUGUGUCUGUCACAGCCGUUCCCCUCUGCCCACUGCUCUCUAAUCCAGUCCUUGGCCACUCCCCUUGAAGGCUGGUGCAAAGCCAGGAAAGGACAUGGGUGGAUGUAAAUCUACACACACAGACCUGAACCAGAAACUGGUUCUCAUUCACGUCUGCAGCAUCCUCUCUGCGCCAAGUUCUCCAGCCCUCAGGGCAAUGAUGCUUCUCCCUAGCCGUGUGUGUCUGUCCGGGGUCUGUUUGGUAGGUUGAUUCUGAACCAUUUCUCAUCCCAGCAUUCCUGCUGUCCAGUUUAAAACCCCUGGUUGUCGGUUGGAUCAAAAAAUUUCUAUCUGAUCCUUUACUUCUUUGUAAUGGUUCUUCUGCUUCACCCUUGAGUCUGGAAGGAGGGAGGGAGGGAAGGAAGAAAAUAAGAGAAAGAGGUCUACAGACGAGCUCCAAUUCAGUCCCCUCAUUUCAGGAUCCAUACAGUGAUGUCUUAGCUGGGACACAGCAAUAUCUGGUUUAUCGGUCGUGCCAUCCAUGUUCGUAGGAAGAGCAAAGCUGCAUUACUGGACAAGUUCUUUCGGCAGAGAGGAGAGAGUUCUGGGGCUGGAACCCGGGUGUCCAGACUUCCAGCACCACCAGGCUGGUGGCCACUACCCCACAAGGAAGGGCUGGCCCUUCCCCGACAAUGGAAGCCCUGCUCUCCCACUAAGGGUAGCCCCAAGUCCGACAUUUCCCUCGGCUUGUCUGGCUCUCUGAGUCUCCAUUGCUCUGCUGGGGAAACACUGGGGUCUGCAUGGGUUCUCUCCUGCCCUGAAGGUUUGUGCUGGUCAGCUUGGCCUUUGAUGGCAGCCGAGCUCUAUCUGUCAUGCCCUUCUACCUUUCCUGCCUCGCUUCCUCCAGUGAACUCCUGGCUCCGGGAGCUCAUAAGUGGCAAAUGCUUUCCCAAGAAUUCCUUUAAUCCCCUAAAUGGACUUUUACCCACAGGGCUCCCCAGUGUCUUGGGUGAAGGGCUUGCCUUCUAAAAAGCUCCCACCCUUCUCUUCAUUCAGAUGUCUCCUCCCCUCUUUCCACCCUCAGCCCCAAGCUGACCUCACUCUUCCAUGCUCGUUCAGCCCUUCCUCCUCUCGUCUCCCUGGCCUGGGUCUUCUUUCAUUUACCUCUCUCCAUCCCCAGUUUCUUUUCCCUGGUCCUGCUGCACUAUCCUGUGGUUCUAAAAUGUGGAGCUCUCAGUGAAGACAGUCCCAGAACGAGACAUUCUUCAGGUCUCUGUUGGUCUCAUUGGUUAAUCCUUCACCUCCUGCCAUGGGAUAUCCCAUGGGAUAUCCCAUGGGAUAAAGGAUGGAAACUACUCUCUCAGAGGCAUCAUAGGCAAAGACUGGCUUUGGUUCCUGCAGCUGGCACAUCCCUGAAGCCCCUGCCCUGGCUUGCCACUAGCCCAAAGGCUCCUGCUCUGGCCAAAGAUUCAUAUCCUCGAGGGCUCUCGGCCACUGUUUCAUCUCAGUUAUGCCUGUCCUGCUUGUGUGUAUCAUAGACCUCUCUUUGUCUCCAAAAGAUGAGAGAGCCUCAUGACUGUCUGAGCUUGGAGAAAUAUCCAUUCCAGUAAGCCCAGUAACCCUACCACCAAACAGUCCACUGUCUUCAGAGAUACUCUGUCUGCCCCAGCCUUCUGCCUCAGAUUCCAGUCAGAGGCAACUGUGAACUUGACCUUCAGGUACUGCUGGUGAACAAGAUCCUAGGAAGCACCUGGGCUAUUCCCCCCACACUUUCCUCCACCCUCCUCCCCAAACCUGGGAAACUUGGCUCUGGAGUAUUUUCUAGGAAGGUCAUUGUGCUUCAAUGAUGUUAUUUUUCAGGGUUCCUAUGUAUUUUUUAUAUAUACAUAUAAAUGCAGCAUUUUAGUGACAGAUUUGAUAUGGGAGCUGUGUCUUCCUGUGCUCUGUAUUUGAUUUCGGAAGGCAGCAUACUACAGGAGGAAAAACCACGGUGGGGGGGGGGGGAGGGAGGAGACUCUUGGAAAGUCGCUUCUGUGUUGGCUUUGUCUCCGUCUUGCCACAUGACCGAGGACCAGCUGCAUUUUCCCUCAGCGCCUCCUUUUCCCACAUGUAAAGCGGGGGCUUUGACCAGAUGAGCUCUGAAGUUCUAUCCCACUGGUACAUGUAGGGCUCCCGUGCCCCGUUAGCACCCCCUCCUCUCAGCAUCCCUCCCCUCCCAGCUGUGCCGCACACACCCCAUUCCACAUGCCCCACAGCAACAUGGUCAGGUGCCCUGGGCAGACUCUGCACUCCUUCCCAGAGCCUGGGGUGGGCCUCAUGGUCACAGCUACCCCAGGACACUCUCCUAUCUGAAGAUGGGGGGGCCCACCUGUUCAGGGGGCUACCAACCAUGUGUCCUGGAAUCCACCCCCACCCCAUAUAGACACACCGGUAUCACCCCAGGUGUCUGAGUCACUGGGGAAUUCUGAAGUGCUCAUCUUGAUGUGGUCCUUAGAGCUGGAGGGAGGCGGUUCUGAUUUCCGAGAUGGCAUGAGCUAGAGGAGAGAGAUCCAGAGGUUGGCCCACGAUGGCACAAAGUCUGUAUCUGAUAUCAGCUCGGUGAUGCAUUCCAAGCCACGGGGGAGACAGAAUGCACUGCAGGGACUCUGCAGCGACGGGUGUCACGUCUCCCACCAGAACCUGUGUCCUGAAGACCAAGUCCAGACACAGUGCUCCGCACCACCUGGAGGAGGGGGAGGCACCCCCCUGGGCUGCUAAGAGGUGGGCACGCACCCCAUCCUAGUACCUCUCUAGCCCCUCCUCUCGUGACACUACCAUCCUCCCGGUGAAAGCUUGAGAAGAAGCAAGAAUUGAGAGUACAAGUCAGUACCACCGAACCUGUCUUGUAAAUCGGCAAACACAUCCACCAUCCAUCAGUCAGAGAAAGGACAUCCUGCGUUUCCUUAACGCCCUCCCUCCUGGGGGAGAGGAAGACCCCUGCUCCUCUCUGCUGCCCACUCCUGCCAUGACCUUUGAAUGCCACUCCCUGGGAGGACUCAGUCAUUUGCUUUGUAGUGGCAAAUAUUCCUCUAGUUCUAUAACUCAACUAGACAUUUUGUAGUAAAGAAUUCUUAAAAUUCUCUAAUUAAAAAAAAAAAAGCAAUUCUUACUGUAAUAUUUUUAGUUUGGGGACACAAUUUCCUAAGGGGGGGAUUAAUGAACAUUUUUAUGCAUUAGCCCAAUUUAUGGAUUCCAUGUUUAUUAUGGUAGUACUGACGAGAAGUACCUUUCUAUCUGUACCUUUGCCCGUUUUUUCAUCCUCAUAAGUAAGCUUCAUGGUGAGCAGUGCUCCUGUAACUGCCGCUUCUGUACAAAUCUCAUCGUUCUACUUACCCGUCGAAGCACAUUCUAUACGUACUGUAAACAGGUAUCACUUUAGUAAGAUUUAGUCUUAAGGAUUUUUCCACUUUUGUCAGUAACAGAUAUUUAUGGAUUAAAAAAAUAAUAAAGCCGUUUCAACAUAAUCUAUGUCUCUUAAAAUAGCCAAAUAGUUUGCUUCUUCAAACACAGAGCCAAAGGUAAUUUAAAAAAUCACAAAAGGAUGUAGACGAUCAUUGAUGGGAGAAGAAACAAGGAUUGACCACGGGAAUGAGGGAAAUUUUAG
ensembl:lncRNA